rnacentral:rRNA from 1 species
GACGAACGCUGGCGGCGUGCUUAACACAUGCAAGUCGAGCGGUAAGGCCCUUUCGGGGGUACACGAGCGGCGAACGGGUGAGUAACACGUGGGUGACCUGCCCUCCAGCUCUGGGAUAAGCCUGGGAAACUGGGUCUAAUACUGGAUAUGACUCCACGGUGCAUGUCGUGGGGUGGAAAGCCUUGUGCGGCUGAGGAUGGGCCCGCGGCCUAUCAGCUUGUUGGUGGGGUGAUGGCCUACCAAGGCGACGACGGGUAGCCGGCCUGAGAGGGCGACCGGCCACACUGGGACUGAGACACGGCCCAGACUCCUACGGGAGGCAGCAGUGGGGAAUCUUGCGCAAUGGGCGAAAGCCUGACGCAGCGACGCCGCGUGA